ensembl:lncRNA
GGCAGCUGUUCGUUCCAAAGAGAGUCAGAGGACAGGUCCUCCAGUGGAGCCAUAGCACAUAACUAACUGCCCAUCCAGGAUUGUCCAGGACCUUGGAGUUUCUACAGUGGCGCUUCUGCUGGCCAGGCAUGAAGAAGGAUGUAGGGACCUUUGUGGCGGCCUGUCCCAAAUUUGCCCAGGGAAAGGAUCUUCGACAAAGACCCCAGGGGCCUACUCCAUCCCUUGCCCAUUCCCCGGAGAGCAUGGUCGCAUAUAUUCCUGGAUUUCAUCACCGGCCUGAUCCCAUCACAAGGAUGUCGUGUCCGAUCGAGGGCCCCAGUUCGCCUCUGGAUUCUGGCGGGCCUUCUGCAAGCUCAUCGGCGCAACCGUCAGUCUCUCAUCAGGAUAUCAUCCGGAGUCUAAUGGCCUAACGGAGAGACUGAAUCAGGACCUGGAAGCCACUCUAAGGAAGAUGAUGCGGGUGUCCCCUCACCCUACUCCGGGCUUCCCAGGGUUACCAGCAGCAGGCCAACCUUCGUAGGAGACCGGGCCAACCUUUCCGGCUAGGACAGAGGGUGUGGCUAGCCUCCAAGGACCAUCCGUUGAAGGUGGAAAAUCGGAAGCUGGCACCCCACUUUGUUGGUCCCUUCAAGGUGGUGAGGCGAGUCAACCCAGUUGCCUACACACUGCAUCUGCCUCAUUCUAUGCGGGUCAACCCAACGUUCCCUGUCUCCCGUCUUCGUCCAGUGGUUACCUCACCACUUCUUCCUAGACCCAAACCCCCACCUCCUCCACAGGUCAUUGAUGGGCAGACUACAUUUACUGUCAACCGACUGCUGGAUUUCCGGCGGGUCCGGGGCGGUCUCCAGGGUUGACUGGGAAGGCUAUGGUCUGGAGGAGCGUUCAUGGAUAGCGGCUCGGAACAUGGAGAGACUUUCACCAGUCACAUCAUGAUCGACCAGGGAUCGUCAGGAGACGAUCCUAAAGGGAGGGGUCCUGUCAGGCCCUAAGAACUUUCAAGCUGCAGUUACUGCCUUCUGCCACUAGAUGUCCUCAUUUGUACCUUUGUACAGCUUUUGUUGAUCACCUGAUUUGUUCUGCUCAUGUGAUUGAGUGAUUACACCUGUUUGAUUGUAAUUAGUCAGGGUAUUUAAAGAGCAUGUGAGCAUACGUGUU